AGUAUGUGGUUAAUUCGAUGCAACGCGAAGAACCUUACCUGGUCUUGACAUCCCGGAGACCUUAGGAAACUAGGGGUGCUUCCAUCUGGAAGAAUCUGGAGACAGGUGCUGCAUGGCUGUCGUCAGCUCGUGUCGUGAGAUGUUGGGUUAAGUCCCGCAACGAGCGCAACCCUUGCCUUUAGUUGCCAGCAGUUCGGCUGGGCACUCUAAAGGGGCUGCCGGUGUUAAACCGGAGGAAGUGGGGAUGACGUCAAGUCCUCAUGGCCCUUAUGUCCAGGGCGACACACGUGCUACAAUGGCCGGCACAACGGGAAGCGAGUUCGCGAGGACGAGCGGAUCCCUUAAAGCCGGUCGCAGUUCGGAUUGAAGUCUGCAACUCGACUUCAUGAAGCUGGAAUCGCUAGUAAUCGCAGAUCAGCCAAGCUGCGGUGAAUACGUUCCCGGGCCUU
rnacentral:rRNA from 1 species